AACGAACGCUGGCGGCAUGCCUAACACAUGCAAGUCGAACGAGACCUUCGGGUCUAGUGGCGCACGGGUGCGUAACGCGUGGGAACCUGCCCUUAGGUUCGGAAUAACUCCCCGAAAGGGGUGCUAAUACCGGAUAAUGUCUUCGGACCAAAGAUUUAUCGCCUUUGGAUGGGCCCGCGUUGGAUUAGCUAGUUGGUAGGGUAAAAGCCUACCAAGGCGACGAUCCAUAGCUGGUCUGAGAGGAUGAUCAGCCACACUGGGACUGAGACACGGCCCAGACUCCUACGGGAGGCAGCAGUGGGGAAUAUUGGACAAAGGGCGAAAGCCUGAUCCAGCAAUGCCGCGUGAGUGAUGAAGGCCUUAGGGUUGUAAAGCUCUUUUACCCGGGAUGAUAAUGACAGUACCGGGAGAAUAAGCUCCGGCUAACUCCGUG
rnacentral:rRNA from 1 species